rnacentral:rRNA from 1 species
UACGUAGGGUGCAAGCGUUGUCCGGAAUCAUUGGGCGUAAAGCGCGCGUAGGCGGCCCGAUAAGUCCGCUGUAAAAGUCAACGGCUCAACUGUUGAAAGCCGGUGGAUACUGUCGGGCUAGAGUACGGAAGAGGCAAGUGGAAUUCCUGGUGUAGCGGUGGAAUGCGCAGAUAUCAGGAGGAACACCUAUAGCGAAGGCAGCUUGCUGGGACGUUACUGACGCUAAGGCGCGAAAAGCGUGGGGAGCGAACAGG